AACGCACCUUGCGCUCCUUGGUAUUCCGAGGAGCAUGCCUGUUUGAGUGUCUUGAAGUCAUCAACCCCUCACGUUUCGUGCGGAGGGGGGUUGGAGCUGGGGGCUUGCGGCUGAGAGGCCGCUCCCCUCGAAUGCAUCGGUUGGGCCUGUGGGUCGGACCCUCGGUUGGGCGUUGUACCAUCCUCGCUCCUCGUUCCGAGAAGGUUUCCCCGCGAUCGUGCCCUCCCCCGACCUCCUCUGGAGCGGCGGUCAAAACAAAACACUUUGAAAUCUGACCUCAAAUCAGGCAGGACUACCCGCUGAACUUAA
rnacentral:misc_RNA from 1 species